rnacentral:misc_RNA from 1 species
UAAGUAUGUAAUGGCAAUCAAUUGACAAUUGAUGCCUUGUGCCCUGACAAGCAGGACAAUGUUCAUUCUCAAAUUACAAAUAAUUUUCAUAGGAGCAAUUAGGCUGUGUGAAAUUCCCAAAUCAGUAGUUGGAGAUUUUCUCAUUUUUCUGUUUUCCAAGCACGUAGGUAAUUUACAUUUUAUUUUAAACAUGAGCUUCCCACGGUUGGUUUCAAUUUCCUGUUACAGGAGGAUGCAAAUUCAAUCUUGAAUCAAAGUUCAGUAAUAAGCAUUGAAAACUUUGGUGCUCUCAUUCUGGAGAAAGAACUCUAUCUAACACUGGGAUCUAGUACAUUUUUUGGCUGCACCAGAUAAUGGCUUGUUGGGUUGUUUGAACCUUGAAAGGUCUGUUUUGUUGAGACCAUUUAGGUUGACACCUUAGCAGUGUUUGUAUGGUAAUUGUUUAGUACAUGUUGGGUGCAUGAUGUGUGACAUCUUGAUGACGAGUAGCACCAUCUUCUGGUUUUUCCCCCUAAACAUCUCUAUUUUUUUUUAAUAAUAUUUUCUGACUAUGCUUGUUUGGACUUCCUAAGAGAAACACAUUAUACAUUAAUAAAUUGGAUGC